rnacentral:tRNA from 1 species
GGUGGCACAGUGGUUAAAGCAUUUGGCUGCUAACCAAACGGUCAGUGGUUCAAAUCCACCAGCCA